AGAAUGUUGUUACUCUACUGUGUGGCUUUCGAGUAUCCUCACAUUGUCGUGCCGUUUCUACCGUGGAAUAACUUGAACUACUCCUAACCAGGCUGGGAGUGCUGGCUGAGGGCUUAGCAAGGAUAGUAAGCCAUGUCUGUUUCACCUUCAAGUAGGCUAGCUACAGGAACACUGCUUCCAGAAAAGGAAAUCCCUGCCCAACUCCCUUACCAUCAGAUGGCUGCUACUGGGAGCAUCUUUGAUGGCUUUCAUUGUGUACACAGGGCAAUACGGAUGCCUCGAUGAGUUUUGAUGUCAACAAUGAUUGAUUGGCAAGUUAAAAAAAAAAAACAAAAAACAGCCACAACUUUUAUUUUUAUGUACCCAGAUACUUGAAACAAGUUAAUCUGUGGAUUACUUUGUGUGUCAACCUGUCUCAUCAGGAGCUGUUCUUGGGUCCAAUAGCCCUUCCUGCAGAGAAAUCCUUCAGUUUUCCCACUGAAUCGACUCUUGACCAGCCACAGGGAAGCUUGGUUACUGAUACUUCUCGUAACACAAAAGAAAAGCCUUUUGACCUUGGGAAAGGCUAAGGCAUGGCUCACUGAGAAUACACACCUUGGUUAACAGGCGGCGGGGCCUCCAUCAGCCUCUGACCACACUGGAAUUGGGUUUCCUUUCUGUAUUGCUCCCUUUCUUCUCACGGCUGUAACCAAAUAACUGACGAAAGCAACCGAAGAGAAAGAUUUUAGCCCAAGUUUUGAGGGUACAUACACAGUCCAUGGUGGAGGGGAUGUCAUGGUGACAGCAGCUCCAUGGCAGUGCGACCCUGUAGCUGGGAAGCCUUGCAUUUGCAGAACAUGGGGCAGAGAUCAGAUGGGGAGGGAGUGGAGCAGGUGGAUAGGCCUCAAGGCCUGCUGUCAGUGACCCACUUCCUCCAUCAAGGCUCUACUGCCUAGUGGUCCAUGACCAGCUGGCAAACAGGUGUUAAGACCCCGGAGCCUGUAAGUGCCCUGACAGCUGGGAGGGAGAGAGGGUCUCUGAUCUUCAUCCCUCAUUUGUACUACUGGGGUUGACUUGGAGUGUAAGAUGUGUCUGGUCAGUCUUCGUGGUGACUAGAACAUAUGAUAAGAGUUGUGAUUGUCACAGAAGGCAUAAGGUGACAGCAGAAACAGAAGUGUAGGCUCUUCUCAGGGAAACCCCUAUUCUCAAGAGCUGGAAAUGGGUUCUAAGGUGUCAGGCGACUUUCCCAGAUUCAGCCAGCACACAGGCCUUGCUGUCAGGAUGAACUGCUCUUUCCUUUACCCUCUAGAGUAGAUAUUAUCUUCUGAGAAUCAAAAGUAGGAAGGAAACACUGCAAGGAGGAUCUGUACUGCUUGCGCACCUUAUCCUGGGAGCUCGCUGUGCCUUGCACCCUCUGAUUGCCAAUGUCUGUCAUUUUCCCACGGCACACGGGCACAGUUGACUCACUGGCCUAAGCCAUAAAACUGUUUCUCAAAGGCUCUGUUGAAUGUCUCCUUCCUCUUACCAUCUUCUAUGCCUGACCUCUUAUUUUGAGGCAUAGAUUCAAGUGAGCUUUCCUUGUAUGGAGAAAUAACAGGUGAGUCACACCUGACAGGGCCACCCUAAAUACAGGGAACAUUGCUCCACAGAGGGGUGGAGCACAGCUCUCCCGGAGGUAGAAAGCAGUUCUCAGUGGUGAAGUUUCUAUUAGGUACAAACACUAGUGGAAGCCACUAUUGAUCUAGACAUUGCCUCAGCCUAGCCUGGAAGAAAAGGCAGCAGGGAGUGCCUGACUGGUUCUGGCUAUCUUUUGACAUAAAAGAUGAAUGCCAAUUAAAAAAAAAGUUUUUAUUGUUUUUCAGAUCACAGAAGGACUUGGAAAGAUCAAAACCUGUUGUCCAGCAUUUGGGAACACUUGGGACUCUGGAAAGGUGGCCACUGAAAAGCACCACAGGUCUUAAUGGCUCCCCGGAAUCUUCUUAGCACUGAGAAGCUCGAGCUAUGGACACUCCUUUCAGACAGGCUUGCGACUGUGAUGUCAUGGAUCUUCUGCCUCUAGAUCCUGAUCUCAGUUUUGAGUGCAGUGUAUGCUUUUGCAUAUGACUUUAGGGCAGAUAGGGAUGCAAGGUGGAGUUUUUGUCUUUUGAGGAUUCAGGCUUUACCUCUAGAUAUUAGUGUGGUUAAGAUUUGAAAAUCUAUAGUAAGACAAUAUUACUUUGGGGAAACCAUCACAUGGAAAUAAAGGCUCCCAUUCUCGUG
rnacentral:lncRNA from 1 species